UUGUAGCCACUACAAUAUCUAUGACACUGGUAGUAAUUAUAAGAACAAUAAUGAUGUUCUAUAAGAGGAAAUGAUGAUUAGGAACAAAAACUUACAGGAGAUAUCAUGCGGUGGAUGGAUAAUAUGUAAAAAAUAUUAAGCAGUAUAUGAAUUUUCAUAUUGCGUAGAGAUAACAAAAUGAAUUUUAAAAAAUGUCGACAUGAGGGAUGCUGGAAAAUUUGAAAGUACAGUACCAUUGGGAAGAAAAUCACGAUAUUGAAAACGAUAUUUGCAAGUAAAUUUCCAAAAAAUCUGUUUUCAA